rnacentral:pre_miRNA from 15 species
UAUAGAAUUUUGGCGUCGGAGCCCGAUUUUUCAAUAGUUUGAAACCAGUGUACACAUAAAUGGUUACAAAGUAUUUGAAAAGUCGUGCUCUGAAAAUGAAUUCUUA